AGACACCACAGCAAAUUAUUUCUGCUCUCUGAAUCAGCCAGUUCCUGCUUUGGAUGACACAGAUCCCAAGCCUUCCAGGUUUUCCCACUGUUCCUUAGGAGAACCACCUUCAGAGCUGGUCUCCCUGACAUGGAGAAGGAGCAACAAGUGGAGGUUGCUGGAUCCCAGUCACAGCUGUGCAGAGCUGACAGCAGCUGCAGAAGGACAGAAACAGCUCACCCCUGAGCCCUGCUCCCUCAAACCCUGCCCUCCUCUGAUGCACACUUGUGUGCUGGAGCACCCCACAGCAACCCUAGAGCUCAGAUUUUGGCUUGUCCCAUCAUAUGAAGCCAUCAAGAUUAAAAAGUCUCCUGUUUCUUCUGACCAGACACAGUCAUAGCAAGAAUGUGGGUCCUCUGCAAAGCAAGGACCUCAUGAGAUGAGAAGCUCCCUUGUGACAGCCUCUCCUGCACGGAUUCAUGAGGGAGCAGCAGUCUGUGCAGAGACAUUGGGUGUGUGCUCACCUGCCUUCACGUGUGACAUGUCUCAGCCCAUGAUGUCCAGGGUGGAGGAUGCUGAAAGGCCUAUCCUUAUUUUGGGUUUUGCCUUUGUCUUCUUCCAAGUAAAGGAUGCAUACCAGGAGCUGCUCCCCACGGUCCCUUCCUGUGUCUCUUCCCGGGCUCUUUCUGUGGGGGAAGGCACUUGGCAGCUGAUUCUCGAGGCUGCCAUCCAUAGACCAGUCCGAGCACAUGCACACACCUGCCUGCAGCCGGACCAGCACGAGACAAGUCAUCUGCUGCCAAAGAAGGUUUCUUCAGGAUCACAGUAACUAAAACCUCAUUAAGAUAUGCAGGAGUCCUUCCAGGUUGCAAAAUGAAAAUCAUUGCCCGGAAUCACUGCAUUCAAAGUAGGGAAAUAUUCCUUUAAAGAAACCCAUUGGCAAUAUAACUAAAGGCCCUUAGGCCAAGCUGAUAUUCAACAUAACUCCACCGAGUCAAGAGAAAUACACCAGGGAUUAAGUUUGGCCCGAUAGCAAAAACCACAGGCAAGUGAGACUGAUUCCCAGAAUCAAGCUGACCUGAAAAAUAUAGUUAGGUUUUGCCCUUAAAGGAAUAAUUUUCUUAAUAACAACAGAUAAAAUGAAAUGCUUGUCAAAAUUAUUACAAGCAUAUGGGAGUGAGAUGAUCAACACUGCAUGAAUUAUUUCCUUCAACAGCUGUAUUUCUUGUUCAUUCUUUCACUACCCUUUCAUUCCUGAGCUUUUGACCUUCGCACUGCUCUUCUAGAAUUACUACCUGUCCUAUUCAUUCUUGGCUUGUUAGACACACAGACUGUGUGGUUUUGGUGUUAAUCCUAGGUUUGCCACAGACUUUCUGUGGGAAUUUCAUCACUUGACGUUUUUUCCUCAGUAUCAUCCAACUCCAUCUCUAAUAGUACAUCAAUACAUGAACUAACUGCCAGGCAAUGUUAAGGGUAAAGUACUUUGUUUUAUCUUUCUGGAUUGGGCCUUUGGUCUUCAACUUAAUGCCUUGCAACCCUUACCAAGCAAGGAUGGUGGUUAGCAUAAGGAAAAACUUUCUCAGAAGCAGCGCCUGCAUAUGGGACUUGCUUCCUGACAGAGGAGAAUGAAUGACCACAGAAUAAAUCUCUUUCAAAACUCUGUCCA
ensembl:lncRNA